ACUUAAAAGCUAGCUAUACAUAUAAUCAACAAACAAAUAUCAAUUCCUAUUAAUACACUAAAAAUUUAGUUAAACCAUUUUUCACAUCUUAGUAUAGGCGAUAGAAAAGGAAAUCUAAGCUACAGAUCAAGUACCGCAAGGGAAUGCUGAAAGAGAAGUGAAAUAACUCAGUAAAGUAUAACAAAGCAGAGAUAAACACUCGUACCUUUUGCAUCAUGAUUUAGCAAGAAUAAAUUAAGCAAAAUGUUUUCUAGUUUAUUAACCCGAAACUAAGUGAGCUACUCCAGGACAGCCUAAGAAAAGGGCAAACACGUCUCUGUGGCAAAAGAGUGUGAAGAUCCUUGGGUAGAGGUGACAGACCUACCGAACUUAGUUAUAGCUGGUUGUCUGGGACUUGGAUAGGAGUUUAGCCUUUAAUUUUCUAAAUUUAAUCUUGACUAAUCAUUAAGACAAUAAAAGAAUGUUAAAGAGUUAUUCACAAGGGGUUCAGCCCUUAUGAAAAAGGAUACAACCUUAUCAGGUGAUUAAAGAACACACACACAUAAAGUCAAUGUUCUAGUGGGCUUAAAAGCAGCCACCUAAGAAAAAAGCGUUAAAGCUCAGACAUUAACACUACUUUUAAUAAAGAUUUAUUAUUUAACAUCCCUUAAAUUACCAGACCUCUCCAUUUUAUAAUGGAAGAGAUCAUGCUAAUAUGAGUAAUAAGAAACCUUUCUCCAAGCACCCCUGUAAUUAGGGACGGAAAAUCCUCCUAAAAUUACCGGUCCCAACAAAAGAGGGAAUAGAAUAACAAAACGACAACAAGAAAAUUAUUUUAACAUAACCGUUAACCCAACACUGGAGUGCAUUUUUAGGAAAGAUAAAAAGAAAAAGAAGGAACUCGGCAAAUAUAUUUAAAGCCUCGCCUGUUUACCAAAAACAUAGCUUCUUGGACAUUAAAAAUAAGAAGUCCCGCCUGCCCCAUGACAAAAUUUAAUGGCCGCGGUAUUUUGACCGUGCAAAGGUAGCGCAAUCACUUGUCUUUUAAAUGAAGACCUGUAUGAAUGGCAUAACGAGGGCUUAACUGUCUCCUUUCUCUUAUCAAUGAAAUUGAUCUUCUCGUGCAGAAGCGGGAAUAAAAACAUAAGACGAGAAGACCCUAUGGAUCUUUAGUCGCAAGAAUAGAACAUAUUUAAAUCACUCGAACUAAUGAGUAUAACAUAGUGAAAACUAUUCAAGUGGCUUUGGUUGGGGCGACCGUGGAGAAAAACAAAACCUCCUUGAGGAAUGAAGUAACUUCUUCCAAUCCUAGAGUGACAACUCUAAGAAAUAGAAAUUCUAACCGCAAUGAUCCGGCAAAGCCGAUCAACGAACCGAGUUACCCUAGGGAUAACAGCGCAAUCCUCUUUUAGAGCCCAUAUCGACAAGAGGGUUUACGACCUCGAUGUUGGAUCAGGACAUCCUAAUGGUGCAGCAGCUAUUAAGGGUUCGUUUGUUCAACGAUUAAAGUCCUACGUGAUCUGAGUUCAGACCGGAGUAAUCCAGGUCAGUUUCUAUCUAUGAUAUAUCUUACUCUAGUACGAAAGGACCGAGUAAAAAAGGCCAAUGAUCAAUUAAGCCUUUUUCUUUACUUAUGAAAACAAAUAAAUAAGAAAAAGAUAAUACUAACUAGGAAGAGAUAAUUCCAC
rnacentral:rRNA from 1 species